UACGUAGGGUCCGAGCGUUGUCCGGAAUUACUGGGCGUAAAGAGCUCGUAGGUGGUUUGUCGCGUUGUUCGUGAAAACUCACAGCUCAACUGUGGGCGUGCGGCGAUACGGGCAGACUAGAGUACUGCAGGGGAGACUGGAAUUCCUGGUGUAGCGGUGGAAUGCGCAGAUAUCAGGAGGAACACCAAUGGCGAAGGCAGCUCGCUGGAACGGUACUGACGCUGGAGGCGACGGAAAGCGUGGGGAGCGAACAGG
rnacentral:rRNA from 1 species